GACGAACGCUGGCGGCGUGCUUAACACAUGCAAGUCGAACGGUAAGGCCCCAGCUUGCUGGGGUACACGAGUGGCGAACGGGUGAGUAACACGUGGGUGACCUGCCCCGCACUUCGGGAUAAGCCUGGGAAACUGGGUCUAAUACCGGAUAGGACCGCACCGUGAGGGUGUGGUGGAAAGUUUUUCGGUGUGGGAUGGGCCCGCGGCAUAUCAGCUUGUUGGUGGGGUAAUGGCCUACCAAGGCGGCGACGGGUAGCCGGCCUGAGAGGGUGGACGGCCACAUUGGGACUGAGACACGGCCCAGACUCCUACGGGAGGCAGCAGUGGGGAAUAUUGCACAAUGGGCGGAAGCCUGAUGCAGCGACGCCGCGUGGGGGAUGACGGCCUUCGGGUUGUAAACUCCUUUCACCAUCGACGAAGGUUUUCUGACGGUAGAUGGAGAAGAAGCACCGGCUAACUACGUGCCAGCCGCCGCGGUAACAC
rnacentral:rRNA from 1 species